GUUGGUAAGAUACAACAUCAGUGGGAUUCAAUAUAUAGACGCCACAUCCUUUUCCUUGAGAUUGGCCUCAUGAACUUUCGGUAAGUUUGAGGAGAUGGCUAAGUUUUAAAAAAGUUAAAAUAACAAGAAAGUUGAUUCGUGAUUGCAAAACUAUGUGGAACUCCACUUUAAUGAUGCUAGAAGCAGCUUUACCAUACAGAGUUGAUUUUGAACGUGCAAAUCAUGUUGAGAAACAAUAUGAGCAUUUACCUAGUGCCAAAGAAUGGGAGUUUGCUGCAGAGAUGUUGGAGAGACUUGGAUUAUUCGAUGAGAUAACUAAGUUGUUCUCUGGGAGUGAUUAUGUGACUUCUAAUGUUUACUUCCCUAAAAUCUAUGAGAUUAAAAUGAAAACGAGACAGUGGGCCACUUCUAGCAAUUCAGUUAUAAAAAAACUCUCUGAGGAAAUGAAUACUAAAUUUGACAAGUAUUGGAAGGACAUUCAAGAUCUGAUGGGGAUGGCUACACUUCUUGAUCCUCGUUACAAGAGGCAUAUGUUGAUAGCUUGCUUUGCCAUGCUCCAUGGAAUUGAGCCAUCUUCUUAUGACAAUGUGUGGAUUCGGUUGAUGCAUUAGUUGCUAGACUGCAUUCAUUCAUAAAGGAGUAAAGUGGAAGUAGAUGAAUAUAAACCAUGUGAAGAACUGAUUUCUUCAGUGAAAGCUCCAGCCAUCAUGAACAUCUUCAAUGACAUCAAGGUGAAAUAGAUAUGUACUUGACAGAUGGCCUAGUGCCAUACACAGAAGUAUUUAGUGUGUUGGAUUAGUGGAACGUAGCUAGAACAAGAUAUCCAACAUUAAGGAAGGUCGCCAGAGAUAUUUUUGCUAUUCCCGUGACAACAGUUGCUUCAGAGUCGGCCUUUAGUACAAGUGGCAGGAUACUUAGUGAGCAUAGGAGCCGCCUAACUCCUAAUAUGGUGGAAGUUUUGAUGCGCUCCCAAGAUUGGCUUAGAAACAAACAAAAAGAUGCCCAUAAAGGAGAUGCAAUUUUGAACUUACCUUCAAGACAUUCAAGAGGGGAUGCCGGUUGGUACUCACCAACACAUUUCCUUUGCCAAUUGAGUAUUUGACUGUACCUUCUACAAGUGACAACAGUUGCUUCAGAGUCGGUCUUUAGUACAAGUGGCAGAAUACUUAGUGAGCAUAGGAGCCGCCUAACUCCUAAUAUGGUGGAAGUUUUGAUGUGCUCCCAAGAUUGACUUAGAAACAAACAAAAAGAUGCUCAUAAAGGAGAUGCGCUUUUGGACUUGUUUAAGACAUUCAAGAGGGGAUGCCGGACUUUUGCCCUUUGAGACGUAGAGACAUGGUCUCGUCGAGUUAUGCUCGAGACUGAAGACUUAUUGCGCUACGGUCUUCGUUAUGCUACCGCUGGAUUGCUCGAGUUUAUUUUAGUUGAGCUUGCUACAGUGUCGAAACUUUAUUGUGAUGCUUAAUUUGUGGCCUUAUGUAUGGUCAAAUUGCCCUCAUACUUUGUCGUGAGUUUGUGAACUUAAAAUAAAUGAUUAUGCAUUGCUGUUUAUGAGUGUUUUGCUGUUUUUA